GACGAACGCUGGCGGCGUGCCUAAUACAUGCAAGUAGAACGCACAGUUUAUACCGUAGCUUGCUACACCAUAGACUGUGAGUUGCGAACGGGUGAGUAACGCGUAGGUAACCUGCCUGGUAGCGGGGGAUAACUAUUGGAAACGAUAGCUAAUACCGCAUAAUAUUAAUUAUUGCAUGAUAAUUAAUUGAAAGGUGCAAUUGCACCACUACCAGAUGGACCUGCGUUGUAUUAGCUAGUAGGUGAGGUAACGGCUCACCUAGGCGACGAUACAUAGCCGACCGGAGUGGGUGGGCGGCCAGACUGGGACUGUGACACGGCCCAGAGUCAUACGGGAGGCAGCAGUAGGGAAUCUGCGGCAAUGGACGAAAGACUGACCGAGCAACGCCGCGGGAGUGAAGAAGGUUUUCGGAUCGUAAAGCUCUGUUGUAAGAGAAGAACGGGUGUGAGAGUGGAAAGUUCACACUGUGACGGUAUCUUACCAGAAAGGGACGGCUAACUACGUG
rnacentral:rRNA from 1 species